GGUUAGGGUUGGGCUUGGAGCUAGGAUUUUUCUGAGUGCACUGAACCAACUCCCGAGUCUCUAGGACAUUCCUAAAAAAUUUGAUUUUUUCCCAUAGGAAUGCAUGGGUUAGGGUUAGGGUUAGGGUUGGAGCUAGGGUUAGGGUUAGGGUUAGGGUUGGAGUUAGGGUUAGUGUUGGAGCUAGGGUUAGGGUUGGGCUUGGAGCUAGGAUUUUUCUGAGUGCAAUGAACCAACUCCCGAGUCUCUAGGACGUUCCUAAAAAAAUUUGAUUUUUUCCCAUAGGAAUGCAUGGGUUAGGGUUAGGGUUAGGGUUGGAGCUAGGGUUAGGGUUAGGGUUAGGGUUGGAGUUAGGGUUAGUGUUGGAGCUAGGGUUAGGGUUGGGCUUGGAGCUAGGAUUUUUCUGAGUGCAAUGAACCAACUCCCGAGUCUCUAGGACGUUCCUAAAAAAAUUUGAUUUUUUCCCAUAGGAAUGCAUGGGUUAGGGUUAGGGUUAGGGUUGGAGCUAGGGUUAGGGUUAGGGUUAGGGUUGGAGUCAGGGUUGGAGCUAGGGUUAGGGUUGGGCUUGGAGCUAGGAUUUUUCUGAGUGCAAUGAACCAACUCCCGAGUCUCUAGGACGUUCCUAAAAAAAUUUGAUUUUUUCCCAUAGGAAUGCAUGGGUUAGGGUUAGGGUUAGGGUUGGAGCUAGGGUUAGGGUUAGGGUUAGGGUUGGAGUUAGGGUUAGUGUUGGAGCUAGGGUUAGGGUUGGGCUUGGAGCUAGGAUUUUUCUGAGUGCAAUGAACCAACUCCCGAGUCUCUAGGACGUUCCUAAAAAAAUUUGAUUUUUUCCCAUAGGAAUG